rnacentral:rRNA from 1 species
ACAUGCAAGUCGAGGGGCGAGCAUAUCGAAAGCUUGCUUUGAUGAUGGCGACCGGCGCACGGGUGAGUAACGCGUAUCCAACCUUCCCUAUACUAGAGGAUAGCCCGGCGAAAGUCGGAUUAAUACUCUAUGUUCUUCGUAGAAGACAUCUGAAAUGAAGCAAAGGUUUACCGGUAUAGGAUGGGGAUGCGUCUGAUUAGGUUGUUGGCGGGGUAACGGCCCACCAAGCCCACGAUCAGUAGGGGUUCUGAGAGGAAGGUCCCCCACAUUGGAACUGAGACACGGUCCAAACUCCUACGGGAGGCAGCAGUGAGGAAUAUUGGUCAAUGGACGAGAGUCUGAACCAGCCAAGUAGCGUGCCAGGAUGACGGCCCUAUGGGUUGUAAACUGCUUUUAUACAGGGAUAAAGUGCACUACGUGUAGUGUUUUGUAGGUACUGUAUGAAUAAGGACCGGCUAAUUCCGUGCCAGCCGCGGC